ACUUCCCCAUCAUUAUCUCCCUCAAUCUAAACCUUGAUGGGCUACGUCUAAGGGUGAAGGCAGUUCAGUGCCUCUUUUUGAAGGAGUGUCAUUUGUGUCUGUGGUGCAUGUGUGUGAUAUGAACUCUAAUGCUAGGAACUAGACUGAGCCCUCAAAUUUAUUUCACAUAGAACGCCGAACAAUUAUCUGAUGAUUAUUCCUGUCAGCCACUACUGAUUUAGGUUGGAUUCAAACUAGUAAACUAAAGGUGAAAGCCUAUAAACUAUCCUAUUCCCUAAUAAAUCACUAGUUAUAAAGGUGUGGUCCUAUUUUCAUUGAAAUAUAAUGGCAGGAUCAGGCCUAGUUGUGUAAUCUAAACAGGAUCGUGCCAGGUCAUAUGAUGUAGGACUUGUGCCCGUUUUUCAUUUUAUGUUUUUUCUUAAAAAUGAGGCACAUUAGAAACCCUUUGCUUUUUUAUCGUCAAAUCUGUCUAUGGGAGUGUGGAGAGCAGGAUUACUUGGAACACAGCUUGAUACACCAAAUGCAGAGAGUUGCCUAAUUUUUUUUAUUUCAUCCCUGCUAUGUUGUGCCCUCCCUAUGCACCCACUCCAGUCCCAGACAUGUCAGCACAAGAUAUUAAAAAGGGGAAUCUAGUUAAAACUUCAGUUUUACUCUAUCUGUGAACUUGCUUAACAUUCUCCAUGAACAGGUUCACCUGUGAGAUAAAAGUCUCAGUGGUGGACAAUCACCUCUCCAGAUGGUGAGAUGAUGGUCUGUCUCAGAACCUUACAAUAUUCACUUUAAUUGUUCUUUAAACAUGGUUGAAUGGAUGAGCAGCUGGGCUGCUGUUUGUUCUCUGCACCAAAGAUGUGAAAUAUACAAGACACAUCUGUUUGAGACAUUGCAAAGCUCCAAAUUCCUUCAUUAAAUCCAGAGGAGAAAGAAAGAACUUUCAAGAACCAGCAAAGAAAAUAUGUUAAAACUCCAAAUUCUAAAGAGCUAGCCCAUCUGGGCAGAGCAACAAGAUUACAAUCAAGAAUGAUGCAGAGAAGCCAUGUAAUGAAAGCCAAGACCACACUGGGACUCCAUGAUGCAACUGUCAAAAGCCCCUUAUGAAGAGGAGCCAAGGGCAACUUUCAGACUUGAGAACCUCUGCAACAAGUCAGAUCUGCUACACUUUAGUAUUGGGCAACCAUCAUGGUGCGAUGAUCUGCUAAGCCUGAAAAUGAAGAUUUGUGCUGGAAAGCCUGGCAGACCCUAAAAUGCAGCAUUGCAAGUCGUGGGAAUGUAAUAAUGUGCCCAUUGGAAAACUGAGAGCUGAUCCAAUAGCUCAUGGAUCCAUGUUCGGAAACGGUUGUUGUGUUCCAGGUGAUAAAGAAGCAAAUGGCCAUGAAGCCUUCCAGUCUAAGCACCUGAGAGAAAUCCAGAGCCAAGCAUUUCCUCCAGGAAUUCAGGAGACAGAUACGUUUCAUCUUGCUGCUAGGGCACAGUCAGAAAGGAGUAGUUUGAACUUCUUCCUGCUGCUCCUUGGAGGAACAAAGGAGACACUUCUGAAUCCAGUCCUCUCUGGGGACUUACCACCACCCACCCGUCACCCUCUGUAAACAUGGGCCGUCUUGAAAGGACAGUGUCUGGGAUCUGGGGACUGCCUUUGAAUGGGGGAGACCCAUGGGGGACAGAAUGGAUCACUCACUCAGCUCAGAAGACCAGCAGGCACGCUCUGAACUGUCAAAACUCUUGUAGCACC